CCUUACCUACCCUUGACAUGGUCGGAAUCCUGAAGAGAUUCGGGAGUGCUCGAAAGAGAACCGGCGCACAGGUGCUGCAUGGCUGUCGUCAGCUCGUGUCGUGAGAUGUUGGGUUAAGUCCCGCAACGAGCGCAACCCUUGUCCUUAGUUGCUACGCAAGAGCACUCUAAGGAGACUGCCGGUGACAAACCGGAGGAAGGUGGGGAUGACGUCAAGUCCUCAUGGCCCUUAUGGGUAGGGCUUCACACGUCAUACAAUGGUCGGAACAGAGGGUUGCCAACCCGCGAGGGGGAGCUAAUCCCAGAAAACCGUUCGUAGUCCGGAUUGCACUCUGCAACUCGAGUGCAUGAAGCUGGAAUCGCUAGUAAUCGCGGAUCAGCAUUC
rnacentral:rRNA from 1 species